AGAGAGUUGCCUGGUUUAACUUCCCCAGCGGAGUUUUUAUUUCCCCGAGCGGAUUUUUUAUGGGUUGAUUGGGUUAUCCCCGGCAGGUUUCCCUCUGUUUUCCCCUAGCAGAAUUGAGUCAUUUCUCCCCAACGGAAUUGCUUCAUGGCUCCCCAGCGAGUUGCUUUGCCUUCCCCCUAGCGGAUCUGUAUUGACGGCUCCCCAGCAGUUGCUUUCUUUUCCCCCAGUGGAUUUAUCUUGAAGAUUCCCUCAGCACAGUCGUCC
rnacentral:lncRNA from 1 species